AUCGGCGUAAUUUUUUCCGGAAACAAACAUUGUGACGGAGAAGCUGAACUUGCAGAAGUUUGACGACGAUUGUCGCCUGAUGUCACUAUAGAAACUAUAGUAGCCUCUACAGUGAAAUUGUGCACAGAAGCCAUGUAGUACUUAGUAGCUCGAAGUAAUAUCAUGAAUCUUCAUUGUAUGUGCCAGCUUGUGAAGAUCUGCUUCAUGAAAAUUGGACUCAAUUCAGAUGAAAAUGCAAAGUAAAUGGCCAUGAAGGAAUAUUACAUAUAACAGAAUUUUUGUGACCAGGCAUAUACAGUAAACUAACUUUUAUUUGUAUGCGAGAAAUUUUUGCAAGGGCUUUGUCAUCUCGAAUAUAUCUCACCAUGAACCAGUCUUUGGCGUAUAAUUGUAAUAACAAAACGUACGUGGAUUAGGCUUGCGAAAUAAAGUCGUCGCGAAUAAAUGUUAGUUUACAGUAUGUAUAUAGCAUAUAUUUUUAAAAGUGUGUUGUUAAAAAUUGAUUUUUUUCUUUCAGAUAAAUAAUUACAGUGCACAUAUGUACAUGUUAUUGUUAUAUGUAUUUGCUAAUGUACAUGAAUGUACCAUACAUUCUGUUGAUAGUACGAUAAAUUCUGUUAAUUAUUUAAUUUACAUGUAGCCUGUUGUGAAGAAUUCUUUGAUGUGUAUACAACAUGUAUACAUGUACAAUCACAAUGUUGUUGACUAUAAUAUGAUUUCUUGAAACCAUUACUUUAAUAUGAAUACUAUAUAUGUUAUGUGUGCUUGCUUCAGUCAUUAUAUGUGAAGUAUAAUGGACGAUACUAAUUUGUACAUGUGUUUCAUUCAUGUUUGUUAAUACUUUAGGGAGAUAUGUAUCAUUCUUUGUUACAUGUACAGGUACCAAUCAUUGGAUUUGAAAUAUAGUAGAUGAUACUAUUUUGUACAUUAUCUUCUCUCUCUGUGUGAACCAGGCUUGGGGUAAUGCUAAAUGUAAUGGUAAUGCAUUGCAAUGCAUUACAUGUUUUCAUGUAAUGCUAGUAAUGUGUAAUGCCACAAAAUUAGCAUUACAAGUAAUGGUAAUGUAAUUAAUUACUUUCCAAAAUCUAGUGUAAUGCUGGCAUUACAUGGCAUUACUUUGCAUUACUAUGCCUAUUUAUGCAUGUUCACUUUUAAAAAUGUUAUGAAUAA